rnacentral:rRNA from 1 species
AGAGUUUGAUCAUGGCUCAGGACGAACGCUGGCGGCGUGCUUAACACAUGCAAGUCGAACGGAGAUAAACGCUGAUUUGAAGGUAGCUUGCUACUGAAUUUUCUUGUUUAUCUUAGCGGCGGACGGGUGAGUAACGCGUGAGUAACCUGCCCUUAAGUGGGGAAUAACGUUCUGAAAAGAACGCUAAUACCGCAUAAUGUAUAUUUGCCGCAUGACAGAUAUACCAAAGAUUUAUCGCUUAAGGAUGGACUCGCGUCCGAUUAGCUAGUCGGUGGGGUAACGGCCUACCAAGGCGACGAUCGGUAGCCGGACUGAGAGGUUGAACGGCCACAUUGGGACUGAGACACGGCCCAGACUCCUACGGGAGGCAGCAGUGGGGGAUAUUGCGCAAUGGGGGAAACCCUGACGCAGCAACGCCGCGUGAAGGAAGACGGUUUUCGGAUUGUAAACUUCUUUUAUAAGGGACGAAUUUUGACGGUACCUUAUGAAUAAGCUCCGGCUAACUACGUGCCAGCAGCCGCGGUAAUACGUAGGGAGCAAGCGUUGUCCGGAUUUACUGGGUGUAAAGGGUGCGUAGGCGGCUAAGCAAGUCAGAUGUGAAAUGUAUGGGCUCAACCCAUGAACUGCAUUUGAAACUGUUUAGCUUGAGUGAAGUAGAGGUAGGCGGAAUUCCCUGUGUAGCGGUGAAAUGCGUAGAGAUAGGGAGGAACACCAGUGGCGAAGGCGGCCUACUGGGCUUUAACUGACGCUGAGGCACGAAAGCGUGGGUAGCAAACAGGAUUAGAUACCCUGGUAGUCC